UUCUAAAAGCUUUGUUUUCCUUCUUGUCACUUCUGUUCACUUCUUCCCGCGCCGCUGCUUCUUCGUGUGCCCUCGGACCUCUUCUUCUUGAGCAACCCCCAAGGGCCCAUGACAAGCACCCAAUGACAAAGUAGGACUUUGGCAGUUUGGGGCAGGGUUGCCAGCCUCUGCUCCCCCGCCUCCUCUCCUCAGGCCCUCCUCCCUCCCUUUAAUCUACCCUUCCCUCGCCUGUCACCCUCCCUUCCAUCUUCCCAUCCUCCCAUCUUUCCAUUUUGCUCAGUCAUCCCCAGUCAAUUAGCUUCCGAGCUUCCUACUAUUUUGUUUCCUCACUUUUGUCUUUCUAUGCUGCCUUAAAUUAUGCUGAUUUGUUGGACGAUGGUAGCAGCAGCGAGGAGGGAGGUCAAGGCUGUGGGAAUGAGGUGUCUACAAAAAUUACAUUAAAAAAAUUAAAAAAGCAACAAAAUGAUGCACGGACUGUAAGCUGAAUGUAGUGGAAAUAUCGUUUGGAAGUCAUUAUAGGCGAAAUAACGUCCGUUUUCAAGCUUUAUAUGAUCGUAUCUGCAGGAUUGGAUUUCAAAAAGUGUUGCUUUUGUAAAAUUCUUGGAUCCGAAUGUUAAAGAACUUUGCAGCCAGAUUUUAAUCUAUUUUCUGCUGAGAUCUUGCGCAACAUGAAGCAAAAAAAAAAA